AUGCCGCUGGCGACGUCAACCUCCUCCUUCCUACUGAAUGGCAUGGCGGGGAACCAAAUUCUGCACUGCCGAGGUCUCAGGCAGGGUGACCCCCCGUCCCCUCUCCUUUUCAUCAUUGCCAUUGACCCCCUGCAUCAUCUCCUCCAACGUGCCAUGGAGCUUGGCCACCUUGACUCGCUGCCGGGCAGGGACCUCUUGCUGCGAGUCAGCUUGUACGCAGAUGAUGCCAUCAUUUUCGCCAACCCAGUGAAGGAGGAAAUCGAUACCCUGAUGACCAUUCUUCAUGAUUUCGGGCAAGCAUCAGCAUUGAAAGUUAACCCUCUGAAAUCAUCAGUAGCUGCAAUCAGGUGCAACCACAUCGACCUGCAGCAGGUGCUCCAAAAUUUUGGAGGACAGCAAGCCCAGUUCCCUCUGCGGUACCUUGGAUUGCCUGCGACCAUCUCUAGACUGUGCAUCGUUCAUCUGCAGUUCAUCUCUGACCAGAUCAGAGCUCGGCUUGCAGGAUAGAAAGGAAGGCUCAUGUCCAUAGCGGGGAGUAGAGUUCUAGUCAGAAGCAUCCUAAGUGCACUCCCAACUUUUGCCCUGACUGUGCUGAAGGUACCAAAAAAACUGCUAGUCGAGGUGGACAAUAUCAGACGACGUUAUCUUUGGGCCCAAGAGGAGGAAAUCGGCGGUGGGAAAUGCAAAGUCAGCUGGCCGGUGGUUUGUACUCCGAUUGAAAACGGUGGCCUGGGCAUCUCGGACUAGCAUCGCUUCAGCCAUGCACUCAGACUCCGGUGGCUAUGGCUCUCAUGGAUCACACCCAACAGGCCUUGGGUGGGCAUGCAGCUGCCAUGCUGA
rnacentral:rRNA from 1 species